rnacentral:rRNA from 1 species
AAUGAACGCUGGCGGCAGGCCUAACACAUGCAAGUCGAACGAGUGGCGGACGGGUGAGUAAUGUCUGGGAAACUGCCUGCUGGCGGGGGAUAACUACUGGAAACGGUAGCUAAUACCGCAUACCAUCGGAUGUGCCCAGAUGGGAUUAGCUAGUAGGUGGGGUAAAGGCUCACCUAGGCGACGAUCCCUAGCUGGUCUGAGAGGAUGACCGGCCACACUGGAACUGAGACAGGGUCCAGACUCCUACGGGAGGCAGCAGGAGGGAAUAGUGCACAAUGGGCGGAAGCCUGAUGCAGCCAUGCCGAGUGUAUGAAGAAGGCCUUCGGGUUGUAAAGUACUGUCAGCGGGGAGGCGUUACCGGCAGAGGAAGCACCGGCUAACUCCGUGCCAGCAGCCGCGGUAAUAC